AGCAAGUUAUCGGAUACAUGGCCGGGAUGGAGUUCCAUCAAGGUGGCAAAGAAGCUGAAAUAUCUCGACCUUACAAACCGUGAAUCUUU